AGCGUACACGGUGGAUGCCCUGGCAGUCAGAGGCGAUGAAGGACGUGCUAAUCUGCGAAAAGCGCCGGCGAGGUGAUAUGAACCUUUGACCCGGCGAUGUCCGAAUGGGGAAACCCAGUGUGAUUCGUCACACUAUCGUUAACUGAAUACAUAGGUUAACGAGGCGAACCGGGGGAACUGAAACAUCUAAGUACCCCGAGGAAAAGAAAUCAACCGAGAUUCCCCCAGUAGCGGCGAGCGAACGGGGAGCAGCCCGGAGUCUGAAUCAGCUUGUGUGUUAGUGGAACGGUCUGGAAAGUCCGACGGUACAGGGUGAUAGUCCCGUACACGAAAAUGCACAGGUUGUGAACUCGAAGAGUAGGGCGGGACACGUGGUAUCCUGUCUGAAUAUGGGGGGACCAUCCUCCAAGGCUAAAUACUCCUGACUGACCGAUAGUGAACCAGUACCGUGAGGGAAAGGCGAAAAGAACCCCGGCGAGGGGAGUGAAAAAGAACCUGAAACCGUGUACGUACAAGCAGUGGGAGCCUCUUUAUGGGGUGACUGCGUACCUUUUGUAUAAUGGGUCAGCGACUUAUAUUCUGUAGCAAGGUUAACCGUAUAGGGGAGCCGAAGGGAAACCGAGUCUUAACUGGGCGUUAAGUUGCAGGGUAUAGACCCGAAACCCGGUGAUCUAGCCAUGGGCAGGUUGAAGGUUGGGUAACACUAACUGGAGGACCGAACCGACUAAUGUUGAAAAAUUAGCGGAUGACCUGUGGCUGGGGGUGAAAGGCCAAUCAAACCGGGAGAUAGCUGGUUCUCCCCGAAAGCUAUUUAGGUAGCGCCUCGUGAAUUCAUCUUCGGGGGUAGAGCACUGUUUCGGCUAGGGGGCCAUCCCGGCUUACCAACCCGAUGCAAACUACGAAUACCGAAGAAUGUUAUCACGGGAGACACACGGCGGGUGCUAACGUCCGUCGUGAAGAGGGAAACAACCCAGACCGCCAGCUAAGGUCCCAAAGUCAUGGUUAAGUGGGAAACGAUGUGGGAAGGCACAGACAGCCAGGAUGUUGGCUUAGAAGCAGCCAUCAUUUAAAGAAAGCGUAAUAGCUCACUGGUCGAGUCGGCCUGCGCGGAAGAUGUAACGGGGCUAAACCAUGCACCGAAGCUGCGGCAGCGACGCUUAUGCGUUGUUGGGUAGGGGAGCGUUCUGUAAGCCGUUGAAGGUGGCCUGUGAGGGUUGCUGGAGGUAUCAGAAGUGCGAAUGCUGACAUAAGUAACGAUAAAGCGGGUGAAAAGCCCGCUCGCCGGAAGACCAAGGGUUCCUGUCCAACGUUAAUCGGGGCAGGGUGAGUCGACCCCUAAGGCGAGGCCGAAAGGCGUAGUCGAUGGGAAACAGGUUAAUAUUCCUGUACUUGGUGUUACUGCGAAGGGGGGACGGAGAAGGCUAUGUUAGCCGGGCGACGGUUGUCCCGGUUUAAGCAUGUAGGCGGAGGUUCCAGGUAAAUCCGGUACCUUAUUAACGCUGAGGUGUGAUGACGAGGCACUACGGUGCUGAAGUAACAAAUGCCCUGCUUCCAGGAAAAGCCUCUAAGCAUCAGGUAACACGAAAUCGUACCCCAAACCGACACAGGUGGUCAGGUAGAGAAUACCAAGGCGCUUGAGAGAACUCGGGUGAAGGAACUAGGCAAAAUGGUGCCGUAACUUCGGGAGAAGGCACGCUGAUAUGUAGGUGAAGCCCCUGCGGGUGGAGCUGAAAUCAGUCGAAGAUACCAGCUGGCUGCAACUGUUUAUUAAAAACACAGCACUGUGCAAACACGAAAGUGGACGUAUACGGUGUGACGCCUGCCCGGUGCCGGAAGGUUAAUUGAUGGGGUUAGCGGUAACGCGAAGCUCUUGAUCGAAGCCCCGGUAAACGGCGGCCGUAACUAUAACGGUCCUAAGGUAGCGAAAUUCCUUGUCGGGUAAGUUCCGACCUGCACGAAUGGCGUAAUGAUGGCCAGGCUGUCUCCACCCGAGACUCAGUGAAAUUGAACUCGCUGUGAAGAUGCAGUGUACCCGCGGCAAGACGGAAAGACCCCGUGAACCUUUACUAUAGCUUGACACUGAACACUGGUCCUUGAUGUGUAGGAUAGGUGGGAGGCUUUGAAGCGUGGACGCCAGUCUGCGUGGAGCCGCCCUUGAAAUACCACCCUUUAAUGGCUGGUGUUCUAACGUAGACCCGUAAUCCGGGUUGCGGACAGUGUCUGGUGGGUAGUUUGACUGGGGCGGUCUCCUCCCAAAGAGUAACGGAGGAGCACGAAGGUUAGCUAAUCCUGGUCGGACAUCAGGAGGUUAGUGCAAUGGCAUAAGCUAGCUUGACUGCGAGAGUGACGGCUCGAGCAGGUGCGAAAGCAGGUCAUAGUGAUCCGGUGGUUCUGAAUGGAAGGGCCAUCGCUCAACGGAUAAAAGGUACUCCGGGGAUAACAGGCUGAUACCGCCCAAGAGUUCAUAUCGACGGCGGUGUUUGGCACCUCGAUGUCGGCUCAUCACAUCCUGGGGCUGAAGUAGGUCCCAAGGGUAUGGCUGUUCGCCAUUUAAAGUGGUACGCGAGCUGGGUUUAGAACGUCGUGAGACAGUUCGGUCCCUAUCUGCCGUGGGCGCUGGAGAAUUGAGGGGGGCUGCUCCUAGUACGAGAGGACCGGAGUGGACGCAUCACUGGUGUUCGGGUUGUCAUGCCAAUGGCACUGCCCGGUAGCUAAAUGCGGAAGAGAUAAGUGCUGAAAGCAUCUAAGCACGAAACUUGCCCCGAGAUGAGUUCU
rnacentral:rRNA from 1 species